rnacentral:tRNA from 1 species
GGGUCGGCUCGCCUAUUGGUGUGGGCAGCGCUCUGUAAAAGCGUCCUUUCCUGGUUGCAGAUUCAAAUUCUGCCCGACCCA